CCCUACGCCGCCAAGAACACCGUGCAGUUUCAUGUCUCUGCUUGGGACAUUCAGCCCAGGGGGCCGGGGCCGCCAAUGAAGUGGGAUGACUCAUGGCACUCCGGGAGGAGUGCCCUUGGGGGGGGGGGUUCUGUCACGAUUCCCCCUUGAAGCAGUGUGCUCUAAGCGCAAAUGCGCGAGCACCUGCUUUUCCGCUGUCGACCGUAGUGACAUUGGGACACGUGUGUUUUGUUUGUUUGUCAUGUCUCCUCCCUGUUCCGUCAUUGGCUGAGAAUUCACGUGGGUCUGUAUUGCUCCCAGCUGAUAGCAGUUUACACGCUAAUCAUGUCCGCAUAUAUACCGCGCGCUUCCCAGCACACAACGUGGAAGAUUAAUAAGUCAUAAGUAAAUGUUUAGCGUUAGUUUAGUUCGCGUCAUAGUCAGUUUGCGCUGGAUAUCCGCUUCCAAUUCCUGCCUAGCCCUGUGUAUACCUGUUUGCCAAUCGCCUGACCUCUUGCCUGUUUAUGAAUUACGUUUUGGAUCACGUUUUGGAUUUGUCUGCCUGCCUGUCUCUUUAAAUAAACAACUGUUAUCCUGCA